rnacentral:tRNA from 1 species
GGGCUGUUAGCUCAGUUGGUAGAGCGCCGCGUUCGCAAUGCGGAGGUCAGGGGUUCAAUUCCCCUACGGUCCA